GCAGGAUUGGCGGAAUUGGCAGACGCGACGGAUUCAAGUCCCGUUUCCUAAUGGAGUAAGAGUUCAAGUCUCUUAUCCUGCA
rnacentral:tRNA from 2 species